GUGGAAAAUUGCCUCCAUGUUGUCGCUGGUUUUGGUCUGGAAGGUACUAGCAGUGUGUGUGGUGCCAUGCAAGAGAAGCUCAAAAAGUAAAUUCUCUGCCCCAGGGGGUAUCCAGUUUAUAAAAAAACCAACCCCCCCAAAAAAACCCAUUAGAUCUGUCAGGCCUGAUCAGAGGCCCAAGAAGGUACUGCUGAGACAAGGUAAAUAAUAACUGGUGGUGUCCCCCUCCCCUCCAGUUUUCUCGAUUGCACAUCAACUGGAUCAAUAUUGGCCCGGCAGCUCUUUUUAACCUCUAGUUCUGCCAGGAACAGUUUUAUCCUUAAUGAGAAAGGCUGCCCCUUCUGCUCAAAUGUUGCCUUUUACAAUAAGGAGCCAUUCUGUCUAAAGGUGACCUUUCUAUUUCUGUUUAUUUCUUUAUUUUUUUGCAAGGCCUACAGAAAAUAUUUUCCCAUCAGUGCCAAUAAGGGUUUUCUGUGGGUUGCUAUGGGCAGUCUUGCUCCACCUUUACCAGUCCUUUUGCUGACAUCUUAGAUGUGCUGAAAACGAGGAAGUAAACAAAAGCUGACAUGAUCUUUUCAGGCCUCAUUAGAAAUGCAUCAAGGGAAAUAGACCCUCACUGAACAGGAUGUGAUGGGGGAAGGGAAGCGGUAAAGUCUCUCUGUGUGUGUGGUGCUUUCAAUUUGAAUGUGGCCAUUCAAACAAUAGUGGGGGGAUGGGGUGUGUAGUGGUGGUCUCUGAGGUUGUUUGUCACCCUGGGAAAACAAUAGGACCUUCAAAUCUUCUAACUGCUCCGCAAACAAUUGGGAGAAUAGGAGGAAAUCUGCUAAAGCUGCAGGUCAUUUGUAUAUAGUUAGAGAUAAGCACAGGCCUAUUAGCAGGUAUAAAAGGGUUCUCUCCCUGUGGAUAAUUCUUCUCAGUGGUCAGCCAGUGCUGCAAAUGCUGCUUGGCAACUCCUGCCCCCACAUUGCUUUCUUUAUUAUUAUUUUAAAUUAAAUAAGCCUCCCUUUGCUCUCUGGCUUGCCCUGGGAACCUUUUCGGCAGGCCCAACCCCUCUGCUUCUCUCCCACAAGAGUGGAGCAGAGGGGGAAUCCAAUGGACUGGGCGGCUGAGUGCUCUGAAAUCUGGUUUCGGGCAGCUUUUUCUCCCAGGGGUUGGGAGCCAGGCCUUGAUUACAAUGCAGCUCUCCUAUUGUAAGGCUUGUCAAUGUCAACUCUCCAUCUUCCUCCCUCCUUUCCCUGUCCUUUCUGGGCCAAGCUGCUGAGAAGGGGGGAAAUUCCAUAUGACCUCCGUCCUGCUCUCAUCAUUGCCUUGGCUUCAUGCUCUGGAGGGGAGAGGUGGGAGGCCAUUUCUCCUUUCUGAACCAUCCAGAUGGGAAGGCUUAUCCCAGUGACAAGCCAUUCUUUAGGGUCGGGAGAAAGGGAGUUUCAUUGGCAUGGCUGCCUAAAUGCCCAGCAGGUUCAGGGUAGCAUUAUGUCCCAUCAGUGGAACAGAGUUUGGGGCAGCGAGGGUGGGGUUUGUGUGUGUGGAGAAAGGCAAAGGAGAUAUUUGUAAUUCAAAUAUCUGUGGCUUUUGGAUAUUAAGUCGAAACCUGAGAUAAUGGCAUUAUCGGUUGGUGUUGCACAUGCAGAAAUUGGGGGAUUGGGACAGAAUAUCUCCAUAAGGAUCCAUGAAGGUUGACUCAGGGAUGCAUCCUCAGGGUCAUUCAAUGUAGUUGCAGCAACAUGGCCUGGCUAGUAGUGGAAAAAGGUGACUGAAGACUGUUAAAUGAAUAGAUUUCACCCAUAACCGCAGACACACACACCACUUCCAUUUACACAUGCUUAUGGUUCUAAUCUGCAUUGGUGAAGGAGACCUUGGAAGUAGGGAGGGAGAUUUUACGCACAUUAAUUCAGAUUUACUUCAAGGAUGUGAGCCUGAAUAUGUGGCAUAAGUCAAAACAGGUAGGCAGGUGUCUUUCCCAAGCCUAGCUGCCUAGGCCUACCCCCCCCCCCCCGCUCCUCUCCGCUUAGGCCCCUGCUUCUUCUUUCUGACCUGAUCCUGUUGCCUUGAAACCUCAAAGCGGCGCAAACAGGCCCUCAGCUUCUCUUCAGGCAUGGUUGUGUAGGAUAAAUAUUUAACAACAAAUGAACAGUGGCGGCUGUAAAACAGGGAUAACUUCCUGUGUAUUCUAACAGUGCCAAAAUGACUCACGAUUUAGCCAUUAAAUCGGAGUGGAGGGAGAGAGAGAAAGGAAAGAAAGAAAGAGAAAGAGGAGUUGUAAAUAAAAUUUGCUAUCUCAUUAUUUUCCAAUUGGACAGCCAGGUCCUUGUGGGGAUUUUCGGGGCAGAAAGAGGAGCCUGUGAGAUUGAACAGGAAAGCUUUUCCUCUCCCCCCCCCCAGUUUUCGGGGGGGGGGGGAGGGGAGCCAAAAGAUCUCCUUGGAGGUGGCAGCCGCUCCACCACGCCCACACAGGAAGAAGGAAGAUCUAGCUAGGCUGCUAGGAAGCUCAAAGGGUUGGCUUCUCCCUUCCCCCUCCUUUCUUUCUAUUAAUAGGCACCCAUGAGGGAGAAGAGGGAGGAAUGCUGGGUUAAGCAGAAAAGAUGCCUUUUUCCCCCCAGAUCUGGGAGAGGCCUGGUGAUGACGUGACUGGUGAAUUGAGACUGGCAAAUCCCAGUGGCAAUUCAGUUUAGAGAGAGCUUGUUCUUAAUGAGUCAAUUUUAAGGAAUUUUUUAGCUGGGUCCACACCCAUAUUUCUGCUAGAAGUUUCUGUUUGGGGUUUCUUUCUUUUGCUGGAGGCUUUUUAAUGUGGAUGCUACGGCCAAUCUCCUUUUAUUCUCUCCCUGCUUUUAGUAGUUGGGCCGCAUUCUGCUCGGGUUGCGCAAAAGUCCUUCCAGAAUCUCUACUGGGGAUUUGCCUGAAUAAUCAGAGACGGCGGCUGAACUCUGUGUCCUUGUUGUGUUGGGAUGGGCAGAUCUGGGUUCUGUUCUCUCUUCUGCUGGCAAAGAGCUUGUCCAUUGUACAGUGUAGCUUGUGUGCUUCUCUUGGGUCUGCCAAACCUACCACCUUUUGGGUGGUAAGCUACUUUAAUGCACGAAGGCUCACUUGUCUCCUAUAGCUCUUUUUAAAUACCCCUGAGCUUGUGUUUGCCACUUCCCACUGAAAGUAAUGAGGUUUUUAAAGUUGAGGCUUCCCAUGCAAUAAUAUCUGAAUAGAAUAUUUGCUUAAGCUCCGAAAGAGCUGAGCUACUACAUCACUCUGCUGCUCCCUGAAAGAGCACUGCUAGCUUAGAGGUAUGCCCAUCCCAGUUGUCUUUUCACAUAAUAUGCUUCUGAAUGGAGCCAAAGUAUACGUAGUCGCUCUUGCUCUUGCACAUUCCUUUUCAAGAGUGUCCCUUUCCCCCUGCCCUUCCUUUGUUUUCCUCCACUGUUGAAAUUUCAGCUGUAAAUGAAGUGGGGGCAGGGACUGGAUUCUCUUGCUUAGGCUGCUUCUUCCUAAAGCACCAUGUGUGUUGUUGGUGAUAUAGCUGCCAGUAUCUGAUGCAGUCUGCACCUCUUCCUGUCUUGAGUGCUGCUACAUUCCCAGUUUCCUUGCUUGAAGGUUAGCACUUUAACAUUAAAGAAGCAUCAGCCUUGCCACUGUGUCUCUCAUGGCCACCUUUGACUAGCAUCCUGAGAUGUUCCUCCUCCUGACUGUUGUUCUGCUCUGCAAGAAAAGCUCUCUCUCUCCCCUUCCCUCUCUGUGUGUGUUUGUGUCACUCAAACACCCCCCCCCCUUUUUGAAAAAUAAAAAUCCCGUUCCUAUAUGCUCCUAUGUGGCAAUUUCCCUGGAAAACUCUCUUAUUUUUUGGACAUCCAUGUGAUUUUAGGCUGCACAGAUUUCAUUGUGCAUAUUAAGCAAUCCCUAUCAUGCUUUUUUUUACAAAAGAAAAACCAAUCCUGUCCUAUGAGAAUGAGGCAUUAUUAAAUUAUUUAUAUUAUAACCCAGUUUUAGUAUAAAACUGCCCCUUUAUUCUGCCCCUUCCGCUUUCCCUUCCAGGCCAUUUUCCAUUUCAAGGGCUCCCCCCAUGGACCUAACGUUCAGAAGUGAAAUGAGGCGCACUGGUACAAGGGCCCCCUAAAUUGUGAACUAGCAUUAGGAGAGGUAUGGGGAGCUGUAGUCCAGCAGCUCCCAUAAUCUCUGAGCAGUUGCCAUUGUGGCUGUGGAUGAUGGAUGUUGGGAGACUAGCAAUGUUUGGAGGUUGGCAGGUUCUCCCAUCCUGCUUUAGGAAAAGGCAGCUAAGAUCUAAGGGAGUAGCAAAGAUUAAAAACAAAUGGUUGACCUUUAAACAAUGGAAUUCAUGAGUGGUAAAGUUUAGGGUGCAUCUUGUUGGAGUGUUUCUGCCAAUACUGGAGGGCUAUUUUAAUGGCUUAAUUUGGGGUAAAGAAGUGGCAGGUACAACAGCAGAUGGGAGACACUUAGCUGGUGGGAGGAGAAAUCAAAUGCAAACUCCUGGAUUGUUGCCAGGUAUGUUAAAGGGCUUAUAUACACUGCUGAGCCUUUAGUCAAGCGUUGUGAGCAGGUUUGUCUCUUUUUAAAUGAAUGAGAGCCUAAGGAGAGCCUGUUGGAUCAGGUCAAAGGUGCAAGCUAGCCCAGCACUGUGUAUUCACGGGGACCAACCAGAUUGGGGGGUUGCUGUGUCAAGAUGCUUGCAGUACUUUACAGUUCUGCAAAAAAUAAAUAUGGACUGCCCUGUUCCAAACAUUUAGGAAGAGACAUAGCAUCCACCAGGCAUGCAGAUGGUCCCAGUUUCAAUCCUUGGCCUCUCGGGGGAGUGUUGAGAAUGUCCCCUGUUUGAAACCUUGAAGAGCUGCUCCCAGUCAGUCAGGCUACACCAGGGUGGCAACUUUAGCCCGAGGGAUCGAAAGUGACCCUCCACACGCCUCUCUAGUUUCCUCACACCUGACCAGCCCUGCUCCGUGCCCCCUUCAAGUACUUGCUGGAAUGUGUCCUAGAACUCUUGUGAUGUGCCUUGCUUGGAUGGAGAGAGGGGCAUGUAGAAACCUUUUGACUUUUGUGCGGCUGGAAUGUUGUGUACUGUAGAGAUGAGCUGCCUCUGUUGCUCCACCCACUUGGCUUCCUGCCCAAAGCUCCCCUGGUGCAGAAGAUGCUGAGCCAGGCAGGCCAGUGGUCUGUCUCUGUAUUAUGCAGCUUCCGAUGCUCCUAGAAAACCAAGGGACAUUUAUUGUGCUUUAGUCAGGGGCUGCUUCGCGUAGCAUUUGUGUGCGCUGCAGUAAAUGUGUGAAAUGUGUAAGGGAGAUGCUGUCAGGGAAUGGCAAAGCUGUGUUGCAAACAUAAGGAUGCUCCCUCCUGAGGCUCAUCCAAGAGAAGGGGCCAGCGAUUUAUGGGGUUUUGUGCCCACCCGUGAAAGGACCAGGAUUGGCUUAAAGAGGCUGGCACAGUGGCAACGUCUGUGCAGGAGAAGUCACAGGUUGCUUGGCCUGGGUGGGCGCAGGGCAGAUGUGUUCUCCAAGCACACUGGGAGAUGGUGUUUCCUGUGUCUGUCUGUACGUGUCUGGAAACCUGCACCUUUCACACUUUACCACAGCAAGCGGUGGUGUGUUGAUGUUGCAAACAAGAUUGUCAUAGAAUUGUAGAAUUGAAAGGGACCAUGAGGGUCAUCUAGUCCAACAGCCUGCAAUGCAGGAAUCCUUUUACCCAAUGUAGGGCUCAAACCCACAUUCCUGAGAUUGAGUGUUUCAUAAGAUAAGGUACGGUAAGAGAAAUACUUUAUUGUCAUUGUACAUAGUACAACGAAAUUGAGUGCCAUCCCAUAAAACGAAACAAAAACACAAUUACAGCCACACACAAUUACAGCCAAUGUGAAACAGUUUUUUCUAAUUCCCUGCAGUUAUUUUCCUUUUCGUUGGUGGCUUCGGGGCAUCAAGAGAAAUGGUGACAACCAGAAUAAUUUUUUUUUAUAAAGCUAGUUAGCACCAGAAUCGUGAUAAAACUGCAGGGGCUUGUCCUCUUAGGAAGUAGCAGAGCUGAUAGUAAAAUACCGGGAGGUGGUACUUGUGUCAACCCUAAGCAAGGUGAAAAACAAGCAUGCAUAUUUUAAUUAUGCACCCUCUUGCACACUGUCUGCUGGUAAACAGAACUCUGAGUUUUGCUUGUUUGAUACACAGGUCUAAUUUCAACACGUCAAAUUCCUGCCUGCCCUUUACGAGAAACUGUGUUGUCUUUGCCUGGGGGAAGGCCUCUUACGGUACAUACAGACUGGUAUGGGCAAUUUUCCCAAACAGACACAAUAGAAACCUGUGACAAGCAGAAGCCUUUUAAAAAGUUGUGCAAUAAUUUUACAUACUGUUGACAUUGAGCAUGAUGUAUAGGAAUAGCUUGCACCUAUAAUGUGGAUACUGUAGUGGGAUUGCAACUUCCUCUCCCAUUUUACCCUGUCAAAAAGGUUGUGAUCAGAUAAAUUUGGACUUCAUCUUUGCUUUUCGGUUUCCACAAUUCUAGUUUAUCCAGGAGAGUAAAAAUAUUCUAAGCAGGGGUACAGGACUCUAAAAAAGAAACCGACUGCUGCCUAGUUCUGUUCUUAGGCCUUCUUGAAAGAUCAGACUUCUGGACUAUUUCUGGUUGCUGGGAGUUAACUCUUGUAGAAAAGGCCUAUAACCUAUUUUGGCCUGUUGCUGAAAAUGCAAGUAGGGGGGAUCUCCAUUUCACUGCUAAUUUGAAUGUUCAGUGUCAUCACUAGUGGGUUAAAUUGAGGCAAAGGAUUUUUUAUCAAACUACAAAAUGUUAGUUCGCUUACUAAUGCUAAGAUAUCCACGUUAUCUGUGACUGUUUCUUGGUUCGCUACCCCACUACAGGUGUUAAUACUCUCAACAAUGUCACUACCCUGCUUUUGUAGAAGAUGUGCCUAUUUAACAUACAUUUAAGGUCUUAAUUAUUACUGCCUAUAACUUUGUUUCUCAUUGCCGUUCAGUUUUCUCCUUCAUAUACCUGCCAACUAAGAUUUCAACUGACGAAGUGGGCUUCAGUCCACGAAAGCUUAUGUUAUAAUUAUAAUACAUUUGCUAGUCUUUGUUUUUGCUGCAGGAGACUAACACUUCUGUUAGUCUGGAAAUUUUUGCAUGUUUCUGUUGCUUUUGACUCUGAUUUCUUAUUGUGGCUUUUAAGUUCACCAUGGAUAAAUCUGUUAAUUAAAUUGCAUUUGUUGCAGGCACCAUCCCAAGGUGCAUCAUUAGCAAAAAACUUUAGCAGUGUAUCAACAACCAUGAUUCACAAUUAAGAUAAUUUUUGAGCUGAACUCUUGUAAGGGCUUGGUUCAGUAGUCUACCUCAUUGCAAAACAAAUAAAUCUUAAUUGUGAAUAUGGCCCUUCAUGAGACACUAAUGAAUAAACCAAUUUGCUAGAACAAUACCUCCCCCAAGCAUGUCAGAACUAUUAAGAAUGAAAGUUUCUUGCUGCUAAAAGCUACUAACUGCCCUAAAAAGGGCUAUGGAAAAUAUUUAAAAUUCCAAGGCAUCAGAAUCAAAAGUUUUCAUUAGCAGCAUUGGAACUUUAUGGUUGUGGAAUACAUCCAACCUUGACUUCUGGUGUAGGAUUGGGCCAAAGUGGGAAUCCUGCAGCCAUUUCCAUUAGCUUAUAGGGUCCAAUGCUGGAGCUUCUGACCUUUAGUCUUGGGUCCUUUAUAUCUUUUGGGCUAAGCACAGAACCUUUGUAUCAGAGAUGCUGGCUGCUUUGGGGCAGUUGCCUACUUUGGAAGCUCCUGGUUUGAAGCAAUCAAAAACCAUAGUUUGCCAAUUUGGACACAAAUUAAGCUUUAGUUUGCAGUUAAAACAGGAAGUAAUGAAUCCCCACAUAUGAGGGGUGGGAGGAGCCUUGGUUUGGAGGAUCAACAUUGAAGUCUGCAGAGUUUGCUUGUGGCUUGGCUUCUGUUGCCUUUACAAAAUUUAUUUCUUCAUCUUUGAGCCAUUUCCUUCUUGAUGCCUUGCAUUCAUAGUGUUAAGGGAGCUACAUCUUUACUGCGUAUUUUGCUUGCUGACGCAUUGUGCUGAGGCUGCAUGCACACUAUGAAUUUAAAGCACAGUCGCUGCUCCCAAGAAUUCUGGGAGCUGUAGUUUGUUCAGUUCAGGGUGCUUAGAAUCGUAGAUCUCUUAUGGGUAAACUACAAUUUCCAGAAUUCUUCCUUCCUUUCUUUGUAGGUGAGGGGAAGCAAGGUGCUUUAAAUGUAUAGUGUGUGCACACAGCUCAAUGUAUGUGUUUCUUUAAAAGUCGGCCCUUGAAGUUGCCUACAAUGAUUUGCAGCACUGAACUGGUUUAGUUUUCUUUUUGCAAAUUUGCAGCCAUUGAAGUGUUUUGUUUUGUUUUAAAAAAAGAAAGACCUUUCUCAAUGCUUUUAAAAAUGAUCGGAAAGACUACAGUAUGAAAUAAACACACCUUUAAAAAUUCCCAGUUCUCUUUAGGUGUGCCUAUACUUUUACAGCAAAUGCAGUAGACUUAAUGAUAUGGUAUAGGCACCAUUUAAAAUGCCAUUCUUUAGCCACAUGUAGUUCCUCUUAAACUUUGUCCUUUAAAAGAGGGGAAAGGAGCCCCUCAGGCUGAGGGGAUAUUGCCUUAAGGACUCUCUAGACCAGGGGUCCCCAGACUUACCGGGCUUUGGGCCAGUUCCCACCGCGCCGAUCGCGCGGCGGGCCGGGGGAGUGCUUCCAGGUCGGAAAAAGCGCCGGAAAUCGUUUGUGCGCAUGCGUAUGGGCCUCCCCCGACCCGGAAGUGCACCAGAAAUGACCUCUUCUGGGUCGGGAGAGGCCCAUACGCAUGCACACAAAGGAUUUUCGGCGUUUUUUUCCGACCUGGAAGAGUGCCGUCGCGCUGCGCGCCGUAAGAGCGGGCGGCGGCAGGGGUCGUCGCGGGCCGGAUUGGGAGGCCAAUUGGGCCGCAUCUGGCCCCUGGGCCGUAGUUUGGGAACCCCUGCUCUAGACCACACCCCUUGCUAGCCCUGCUUCUUGCCCCUCUGUGCUUUUGCUUUACUCUGAAUGUGUCUUUGAACUGUGAUAGUGGAAAAUAAAGAGAUAAUAUGUGUUCCAGCCUUUUGCAUGGCUGGAAUGUAGUCUGCUCUCACAUGCAUUGCUUUGCCCACUUUGGUCUCUGGCUCUCCCUAUCACCUGCAUGCAGCCCACCCAAAGUUUCACCACAAGGGAAUGCAGUCUUUGGCUAGAAAAUGGUUCCUCACCCCUGCAUCGCAGGGAAACACCCAACUUUAAAAUUAGGUAUGUGAAACAUUUGGCCCUCCCAGAUAUUGCUAAACUACAACUCCCGUCUUCCCUGGUAAUUGGCUAAUCUUGCAGAGGCUGAUGGGAGUUGAAAGUUCAGCAACACCAGGGAGGGAGGGGAGGCAAAGGUUUCCUAGGUAAAGGUAAAGGGAACCCUGACAGUUAGGUCCAGUCGCGGACGGCUAUGGCCAAGGGAGCCGGUGUACAGCUUCCAGGUCAUGUGGCCAGCAUGACUAAGCCACUUCUGGCGAAACAGAGCAGCGCACAGAAACACCAUUUACCUUCCCGCCGGAGCGGUACCUAUUUAUCUACUUGUACUUUGAUGUGCUUUCGAACUGCUACCUUCUCCUGCCGCGGCCGGCAUUGCUGCUGUGCCUAUUACUAUGUCUUAUUUUCGGGGUAUGGCUUAUAUUCCUUGAAUGCUUAAAAAUCCUGCUACAGCUUAUUUUAUGGCUACGUCUUAUUUUCGGAGAAACAGGGUAGGUUGGCAGGAGCAGGGAGGAGCAACAGAGCUCACCCCAUUGUGGGGAUUCGAACCGCUGAUCUUCCGAUCGGCAAGCCCUAGGCUCUGUGGUUUAGACCACAGCGCCAGCCACGUCCCUACUCUCCCUACUCUGCCUCUAAAGCCAUAAUAUUUGUAAGUUGUCUUUUAAAAGUAAAAAAAAAUAUUCUGUGCAUGAAAUCCCUUCCCCCUCUCAGGUUUAUCACUUGUGUCUGGGAGUGUAAGCAUUUUGUACACCAAAGCUUUUAUGAAAGCUCAGUAUUUGCCUCAUAGAAGGGAAAUUGUCUUGCUGCAUCAGUUCUGCUGUGGGUAACAUGCAGGAAUGAUGCUUCUGACUCUGAAAUGCCCUAUAUACCUUGAUGUAUCUGUUCUGUAGGAGACAAAGCACCUUCCUUCACAUUGAAUGAAAGGGAUGUGAAAUUAACAUGGGGAUGGGGGCAAUGGGUCUACCAGACAGAAAUGCAUUUUUGUGAGGGAAGCAUGCCAAAAGGAGCCAUCUUUGGGGAGAGAUCUUGAACUGAAUACUUCAGCAUUGUAAAUGAGUAGCAAGGAAGGGAGGGUGGGCAGAGAGAGAGAGACCGCCAGAAACCUCAGCAUGAGCAAGCCUAGCAUGUUUUGCCUAUCUGGGCAGAGCAGGAGUUAGCUAACUCGCUGCAAACAUCCUGUCCUCUCACCUAUAUCACUUGGAGCAACUGACCACUGCAAGCCCUACCACCACUGCUGGUGGCAGGAUAACUCAGGUGGUCUUUUUUGCUUGAGUCCUGGCAGGAGUGCAUUGUUGUUGUUGUUUAGUCGUUUCCGACUCUUCAUGACCCCAUGGACCAGAGCACGCUAGGCACUCCUGUCUUGUUGAAAAGGAGUCUUCUUCACUUUUGGUGUUUUAAAAAUGCAGAGUUAGUCCAGCUCCACUCAAACUAUAGGGCAGCCAAGCAGCGAGAGAGAAAACAGGAUCCUUAACAAGAGACUGUCUCUAAGGGGCUCCUGAAGCCCAACCACUAUACUUGAAGGGUGGUACUUAAAAUCCCCUUAAAAAGCAUAGAUGGCGGUGUCAUGUUCUCUGCAUAGGCAUAAUCUUCCUCUUCCCCAGCCUUCCCUGUCUUUGUUUUUCUUUCUUUCUCUUUUUUUGUGAGCUAACAUACUUGCACUCAUGAUUAUAAUCUUGCAUGGGCGGUAGGAGCAUAAGUUUCCUCCGGCUGGCCUGUAAACCUGCUGCCAUCUGCUUUCCCAGCUCCCUUUGCUGCUAUGCCUGUCACUUUAAAUGUUAAGCUGCAGGCUUUCUCUUCCCUCUUCCCCAACGCAGCAGCAGAAGCUAUUCCAGUCCUGCCUCUCCCUCCCUGAGAGAGGCCCAGCCCUGCUGCUGCUCUCAAGUCCCUUGGCCUGCAGCACCCUUGAUGUUCCCCUGCUUGCGUUGCCAAAGGAGUGCUGUUGUAUUCUGAGAUUUUUCUCUACUGGGAAUGCUGACCAAAUGCUUUAAAAAAAUUGCAAUGACUUAUUAGGCCUUGGGUGAUCUCUGCAAAUCUGCCAUCAACCACCAAGCCCCUCCUCUCUUUUCCACCCCCUCCUCCCUCCUUCCUCCUCUCUUCUCCACCCCCUCCCUCUCUGACUGAUUGGUCUGGACAGCUUCUAAAUUCUUUAAGCUGGGUUUUUGUUUUCAUGGAAAUUUAGGGAGGCAGGAAAUUAAAUUUAUGAGAUAGCAGGAAGGACUGCUUCAUAGGAAUCUGAGAGAUUAUGGUCUCUUUUUAACUAUUGCAGAUACUGAUGACAUUGCAACCCAGGGUCUUAGUAUGCCAUAAGGAUGUAAGUGCCCUGGGAAUUCUGACCUCGGCUAAAAAUAGAUUUUGCAUUUCUCCGGGGUUGCACUGGUUCUUCCCGUCUUUUUAGUUGUCAUGGCCUUUUUUGUAUGGUUUCAUUUUAGAUAACUAGCCUUUGCUUACCCCACCCUCACAGGGUGUUUUUUUUUUUUGUAUUGAGUCACUAAGCAAAAUAGCCAGGCUUCAGUGCAUGCUAGGAAGGGAAGGUUUGUAACUACGGAUGGAAUCAAAUGCAGAGUUUCAUGAAACAAAUAAGAUGCGUGCACAGGUGAAGGGUGUUUGCAUGUGGCAGGAGUUGGCGGAGGUGGCAGCUUCUGAAUUUGGCAGUGCUAUACAAUAUAGAUGAUUGUUUAUCCCUGUAAGUUAGGCCUAUGAGGUGUGUGUGUGUGUGUGUGUGUGUGUGUGUGUGUGUGUGUGUGUGUCCAUAUCUAUCUAUCUAUCUGUCUGCACUUAAAAAAAAAAACUUAUCCCUUCAUCAUUAUACCAUCUGUGGGAGAGGGAGAGCAUAUGGGAGUAAAAGUGAGCACCCUCAAGUGACCUUGUGCGUAGAUGGGGAGGACGGGGAUUGUAGCUUGUGGCUUUCACUUUGUGUGCCCAUUCUCAUCAAGCCAUGCUUGAAUGGAGUGCAAAGCAGAGAGUGGUCGUCUACUGCCAUCACUUAACAUUUGCGUAGAGCUCAAAGAUAUGCUAGGCACUAUUUGACAAGGUGACAAUUUGGCCUUCCCCCUGGAAUAACACUGGCUCCCUUUUGCUGUCUAGACCUACAGAUCUACGCACAGCUCUGGAAGCCUAUAGAAAAUACCUUUGGCAGUGAUAAAUUUUGGUGCUGUGUCAGUCUGACCCUGGGUUGAUCUAUACCAUUUAGUGCAACCGUUGGAGGAGCAAAGGCAUGGACGAACCAUUCUUUCCCCUGUAUGAAUCCUAUUGAAAAGGCCAAAAGCACCUUAAUUUAAAAGUCUAAUUUCCUCCUCCUGAACAGAGGAACUCGAUGGCAAAGCUUGACAUUCUCGCUGACCUCCCACUAAUUAAAUGGACAGAAGACGUGCUUUUUAGUAUAGGCUGCAUUGUUUGGAAGGCUCAUUCUUGUUUAUUCCUUCUCUCGUCUUGCGAAUUGUGCUUUCGUGUACAGUCCCUAUGUGGAAAAAUGAUUUUUCCUGAUUUCUCUCCGCUUGUGUUUCUGCGCUUUCCCCCUUCACUGCAAUUGCUCUUGAUCUGAACCUCUCGCAAAGGCCAGCGCACUGCUUUUUCAUGCAUUGAAACGAGAUAGAGGGAGUUAAGGGGCUGCCUGAUAGCAAACACAGUUGUGAUUGGCUGUGAGCAAGAAGAAAAGGUGGUUGCUUCCCUAGAGCUUCACUGCUCCUGGCUCUUUCAUCCACCCCUGCCCCCAUCUUGUGUGUCCUGAUAGCUUGAUGUCUGGUAUAAGUAGGCAGUUGACCCAUAUGUUAUGGGGGGGCGGGAAGCAAAGGGCUUUCCCUUGUGAACUGCCUUGCCACUCACUUGCUGAUCCUCCCUCUUUAAUUUGCAGUGUCCCACAGUGUUCUCUGUUUGUAGCAUAAUUCAGCCAUGCAGGAAACCAUCAAGAUUCAGAGCCACUCCCCCCCCCCCCGCAUUCUGGACUGUACCAUUGCGUGGUGCAGGGAGAAUAUUUUUGAGUGCUUCCCCUUCCAUCAAGUUUUCUCUAUGACUUGCCUGUCAAGAAGACUAUCCCAAGCCUAUCUCUCUGAUACGUUAGAUUUCUACAUACAGUGUUGCUGUUGUUGUUUUACUGUGCAGAGUACUAAAAUUCUCCCUUUUCUGCCAUCCCCCUUGGUUUACAAUCUAAGAUGGUACAGUCUAGAAUUCUGCCCCAGUCUGUCACAUCAUUCUUUGUAAUGUGUAGAUCAGAUUUUGGUGGUUGUUGUGAAGAUGAUGCAGCCAGACAAAACAAUCCUGAUUUGGGUCUCUUUCAAGGCAUGCUUCUAGUCCUCAUAGCUGUAGAACGUUGUUUUUGGCUUAGCGGAAAGAUGUGUUUGGAUGUUGAUAGCCUUUUUUAAAAAUAAUUUGAAGGUGAUAGCAAUGCUCUGCAUAGUGGAAACAAACAGAAGUAGGAAGGAGGGAAAACAUUGAAAUGUCCUUUCCAAAAACCGUGCAAAGGAGAGCGCCAUUGAGGCUGUCUGUUGAGUAAUUUCAGUGUUGCUUAGCUUGCUGUGGGCAUUGUGAUUGGUGAAAGAAUGCUUUGGAUGACGAGCCUAUCUGUCUGGAUUAAAAACAUGUAUUUAUGAACAGCUUUUAAAGUCAGCACUUGGGGGCAGGGAGGAGAGAGGAGGAGGAUCCAGCUUGGCAGGCAGCUGCUUUUGCUGUGGCCUCAGAGAUGAAUGGGGCCCAGGGUGGUUUAGCUGCAGAAUUGGUUUCUUUGGUGACUGUGUUAGCUUGGUGCUUCUUCUUGAGUUAUAGGCUUAAGGAGAGAAGGCUCUGGGCAGUCCUAGGGGGACACGUGGUCAAAGUGCCCAGCCCUGAAAUGAGCAGGAAUUUGCUUCCUGUUGAUCUCAGGAAGGUUAAACAGCUGCUUUCUAGGCCUUAGAAGCCACCUGUGUACUUGAAUGUAAAAUAGUGAGGCUCUUCAUUAAACACUUUUUUUAAUUUCAUUCUAAAGUGCUGGCUAAGUGAAAGCUUGGUAUGAGUUCUGUAUGGUAUGAACACAGGCCCUCUUCUGUAAAUUUUGCUUCCCUUUAUUGUACGGGUUCCAAAACAUUCAGCUGGAUGCAGCAUCUGUAGUGGAGGGUUUUCUAAGUGGCAGAGAAGAUCCUUCCCACACGCUUUUGGUCUAAAGCGGUUUGGCUUUUUUUCUAGGACAAAUGACUGAAAGGUAGCACUAAGCACAACUAUGCCUUCUCAUAAAUAAUGUGCUCUCAGUAGCUGAAAUCCUAUAUAAUUCCCACUGCUCCUCUUUCCCUUCAUGCUUGCAUAAAUGGUUUUAGAAUAAUCCAGUAUUUGAUUAACCAGUAGCGCUUUAUUGACUUGCCAGAUUUAGGAUUUAGCCUGACCAGUCUCUGCAACCUUUUCUCUUCAGCCAUGAUUUCCUGAAACACAGCCUUCCUUUCCCCCCUUUUCUCUUUUGAAUGUUACUAAAAUAAAUAAGCCAGCCAACCUCUGGGGAAUUAAGAAGAAUGCUGCAACCUGUCAAAGCUUGCAAGAAUCAGACACUCCUCUUGAGCAGUAGACAGAAUGCUAGUGGCUAUUAGUUAGUGUGUGGGGUUCCUAGGCUCCCAUGGCAAUCAAAAUGGUGAGAUGGAGGCAGUGUUUGUGCUGUUUGGGGAGGAGAGCUUUUUCCCAGUAACCCAGAGGGAAAGGCAUCUAUCUCAAGGAGUUAAAAGGUUCAGAGAUUGGUUCCACAGAGCUACUGCAGUGGCUAAGAGAUUGAGCGGUGAACCGGGAAAUAUCAGAUUCAAAUCUCACCAUGAACUCAGUAGAUGACUUCAAACAAGCCACCAUCCACCUUGGCCUGCUACCUUUUCUGAAAUAGGGGGAUGAUUGUAGUGACCUACUCCACAGGGUUGCUGUGAAUAUUAUUGAGAAGGUAUAAGAAGUACUUUUAUCGCUUUAAAGUACCGUACUAUAAAAAUGCAUGGUAUUCUCAUGUAACUAUAAAAAGGUGAAUGUGUUCCUUUUGAACAAGAAAGCAACCUCCACAUCUUUGUAUGUGUCACUUAUGUAGGUACAUCUCCACAUUGAAUCUGAAUGCUCUCCAUAUCUACAUGUGGCACGGAUCUUUCUCAGCCUGUCUCCUUGUGGUAGUCUUCUGGAGUAAUGGUUUUAACCUACCUAGGUCAGGGGGAAAUUUGCCCCUCCCCGUGUUUCAGAACCCAGCAUUUCAAUCAUGGUCAAUGGCUAGAGAUGAUGGGAGUUGUAGUUCAGAAACACCUAGCUGAUAUUCUGCUCUGUUGUUUCUAUGAAAUAUUUACAGUGGAACCUCGGUUUAUGAACACCUCGGUUUAUGAAUUUUCGGUUUAUGAACCCCGCGGACCCAUCUGGAACGGAUUAAUUCACUUUCCAUUACUUUUAAUGGGAAAGUUCGCUUCAGUUUAUGAACGCUUCAGUUUAUGAACAGACUUCCAGAACCAAUUGUGUUCAUAAACCGAGGUACCACUGUAUUUAAAAGCUAAUGUGGCAUAGUACUGUCCAGAUUACCAUGGCUUGGCAAGACCUCUGCUGGUAGAGCGUUGAAUUUAUUUGGAGUGCUACUUUGAGCAAUUAAUUUUGUUGAGCUAUUUUAAAUGGAAUUUGCCAAAAUCUACACUUCCGACAUGGCUUGCCAUACGUCUGGAUUUUUGCAGACAUUUAUCUGUCUCAAGACGAGUAAUCCAGACUGAUGUCUUGACCCCUCCUCCUCAAGGGCAGAAGAGGUUCAAGAUGCUUUGGGGAAGAGCUGCAGCUCAGUGGUAGAGCACAAUGUUUUGUGCAUAGAGGUUCCAGGGGUCAAUUGCUGGUGUGCCCAAGUAGGGUUGGGAAUGUUCCUUGACUGAAACAUUGGAUAGCUGCUGCCUGUCAGUGUUGACAAUAUUGAGCUAGAUGGACCUAUGGUCUGACUUAGUUUGGUAUAAGUACGGUAGCUUCCUAUGUACCAGUCCAAGAUCUCUGGUUUCACUUAUUUGUGCUAUAACCCAACCCAUCUUCAUGCUCUUAUGGUAGCAGAUGUGCUCAUGUCAAAAUACCUCAUUGCCUUGUUACUCUCUCAUCUAGUGGGAGAACAAAUGUUGAUUGCAUGUUUUGAGUAGUCUGCACAUAGAAUCAUACAAUUUAGAGUUGGAAGGCACCCUGAGGACCAAUCCCCUGUAAUGCAGGAAUAUGCAGCUGUCCUAUAUGGGGAUUGAACCUGUAACCUUGGUGUUACCAGCACCAUACUCUAACCAACUGAGCUAUCCCGACUGACUUGAUACAACAUGCAUGUUUAACUACUCUAACAAUACUAUUUGUAGCAGAGAUGGCUACCUGGGGGGCUUCUACAGGUUGCACUCCCAACUUCCAUCAGCUUCAUCCUCCAUAGCCAAUGUUCAGGAAUGAUGGGAGUUGAAGUCCAAUAGCAUUUUGAAGACCAUAGCUAUCAGAAUUCCUUGGACUCCUUAUUCCUGAUUAACAGGAAACCAUAAUGAUUAAGGACUCCUAAUACAACAUGGAGAACUUCACUAGAAUGAUGGAAAGACAAUGAAUUAUGAUGUCCUAAAGUAAAAAAUCAGCUAAUUGGCAAGUUCGCUGUGAACGCUAAACCCAUUGCUCUUUAAACCAGAGAGUGUACUGGCAAGUAUUUUGUCAUACUAUUGAAUAUGGACUAUUGAAUGAAGCCAUAUACUAUAUUAUGUGCUACUUCAAGGCAAGGACUAUUCUCGUGCUCCCAUGGUCCACUGGUUUCCUUCUAGAAACAGAAUGCAAGGACCAGCUUUAAACUAAGCAACCUUUCCUUGCCUCUUCGUCCAGUAACAUGAACUUUUCUCAUUGCCUUUAUAAUGGCUGGGUGAGUAUCCUCUGGGGGCUUGCGCUUUUCAGUCUGAUGUGUGUAUUAUACUUUAAGCUUAGAUGUACUUUAGACUUGCGGUUCAGAGCCUGUGGACCCCUUGGCAGAGGUGGGCGCCAAGCAUGGCGUUUUCUCAAAGUGUCUACAAGCAAUGUUCCUCCAACCAGCGCUUGACUUCUUCCUCCACACUCUUCAUUUUCACAGUGGCAUCUCCAGGAGAGCUGCAUUAACAUUGAGGAGCUUGUGAUCAUUGGAAAUAACGGGAAUGCAGGUCAGCAGCUUUGGCCUGUGCCUUCCUUGUUUUCCUUUGCUGGUGUGGUGUGAGGUGUACUUAGAAGAGCCUGCCCUCUCUGCUUUGUCUGCAGAGGUGUGUUGCACCUGUGGUUUUCUGGUCUCUUAUAUUGCACUACAUGUAGGACACGUGGUGGAAGGUGGAAUACAUGGCACACGUGGUGGAAGGUGGAAUACAUGGCACAACAGCUGGAAGGCCCUUAAUUUGAGUUUAGGGAGUUCUGUGGAUUGGCAGAAUUUCUGUUCUAAUUACUUAUUGCGCUUGAGUUCCUUAAUUUUAGCAUUAUUGGAGAUUAUUUCUGAUGCUUUAUUAGGAUAAAUCCUGUGCAUGCAGGUUAUGGGGGGGGAGUUUCUGGCUUUUUCUGGCUUAGGCCAUUUUGGGGGCAGAUUUUUAGGGGCUGUUUGUCAUUCCAUGUUACUGUUGCUGCUCAUGCGUGCAGGCUUCUGAAAAAAAGGGAAAAAAUACAAUAAUAGCUUUAUGUACAGGGAUUUCAUUAAAGUAUACAAUUGAUAGUCCUCCUGAUUCUAUGUGUAGGAAUACAUUACAUUAAUAACAACGAAUGUCUUCAUUUUCAUUAUUUUGGGGAUUACUUCAGUUGAGUUCCCUUGGAAAUAAAUACAUUUGUAUUUAGUUCAAUUGGAUUAGUUGGGUUGUUGGUCAUUGGGUAUACUGGGUAUGUAAAUGAAUGAAUUCAUAAUUAUAAAUACAGUCAUAUUUCAUGGCUUUUUGAAUUGAUUAAUUGCAUCGGUCAGUGCCUAUACUGGAGAAAAAAAUAAAUGAAUUUAUAAUUUAUGAAUACAUUUUAUAUUCAACAGCUUUUUGAAUUGUUUGGUUUGUUGAUUGAUAGGUACAUUGGAGAAAUAAAUGAAUGAAUUUUUGUUAUCUUUGACUUCGGCAACUCAUUUAAAAGCAUUAUUGAAUUUAUAAUAGUUUUUUUGUCAUUAUGUAUAUUUUCAAUUAAUGGAGCCUAAAAUUAUAACAGUGAGUAUGUUGGGAUCUGUGAAUUUUUUUUGAGAUUGAUAAGAGGUCCUUGUGCUCAAAAAUAUGGCAACAGCUCUUUUAGGCCAUAGCUGAGCUUUCAAGCCCUAGUGACUACUUUUCAAUGGGCAGUUUUGAACUAAGUUUUAUUCAGAGUAGACCUGUUAAAAUUAAUGAAUUAAAAUUAUUAUUCAUUAAAUUUAUAUACCACUUUUCAUCCUCCGUAGAUCUCAGGGUAGUUCACAGCAAAAACCCCCACAAAAUAUAUAAUAAAAACAGGAACAAAAACAAAACAAUACCCCUCCCCCCCCCCGGUGCUCCUACACCCCCUCACCUAGUUUAUUCAGAAACAAAUGGCUAGCACAGCAUUCUUGGUUUGUGUGGUUCCAGGAGGUGGUAUGGUGUUUGUGCAGACAGUCUCCAGUUAACUUGUUUGCCUCCUGGUGCCCUAGAGGAGUCUUGUUCAUCUUGUGGAGUAGCAGCUAAGAGAAGCAGUCAAGGGGGAAGUCCACAGGUGACUACUCAAUUGAGUUCUGCAUCAAUCUAGCUUUAUGCCACACUCAACCCCCUAUUUCAUAUGAAGUGCCCAUUCACAUGUUAAUUCCCAGGAAGCAAACUUGUUCUAGUAAGAAUCUUGAGUUCUUAUACAAGUCCUUUAGCCUGUCUCAGUAUGAACAAAAACUGAUCUGUGCAUAACAUUUAAUUGACCACCAUAGUAUCUUAUUGAUCUACCCAAUCCCAUUCCUUCUAAUCUAUUUCUGGAAACAACUGUGUGUGGUGCACUGUGGUCACAUGAAUCCAGUAUAUCCUACUCCAGACAUGGAGAACCUUUUGACCUUUCAGAUGUUGCUGAACUCCAGCUCCCAUCAGGCCCAGAAAGCGUGGCCAAUGGCCAGAAAUAACAGAAGCUGUAGUUCAGCAACAUCUGGAGGACCAAGGUUUUCCCACAGCUGGCCUAGUCCAUUCAGACUUUAUUCUCUGCAUACCGGUACAUUUCUCCUUUCCACAUGGGAAGAGCUAGAGGAUCCUACAUCUCUUCAUUUUGAGUCUCAUUUGCUGAGCAAGCACAGACUAUAGUUUGCCACUUCCAGUGAAAUGCUAAGCUAGUUUGCCUGAAAUCAUGGUAGGAGGAACACAUUAGCUGCUUCAGGCACGUAAUGCCAAACCACCAUUUAAAUACAGUGAUUAUGGUGGGCUUCUUGGACCUAGGGGCUAUUAAGUUAUUAGAUGCUAAGAUCCAGGAGACAUCCUGCUUGCCACCAUUUUGCAAAUGGCUCCUGCCUGAGGGAGGUUGUCUUUCCACUGAAAUAUUUCUCUUUAUCUGAACCUUCUUAAAUGGUUCCUACAGCAGAAUUCUUAGAAACAGGCCCCUCUAAGAAUAAAUUAUUUAAUCACCCUGUAGUGCCUUUUUCUUUAGAUGUUUUUACUGUAAGAUGCAGGAAUCUCUCCAGUUGAAUUAAAAUAUAAACAGAGAGCGUUCAUAGGUGGUAGCCUUUUAGUUUAGUUUAGGUUUUAGGUGAAGUCAAAGAAAAGGCAGUGAGUCUAGAUAUACUUGGAAAAAAAGAAAGAAACCCUGUGGAUCCCAGAAGGUUUUCAUCAUGAGCCCUAAAACUGUCGACACAUUGUUGGGGUACUUGGCUGACACUCCUAGUAAAACAAAAACAACUUGCAAGAGGUGCGUGGAACACCUUAAGUUCUUUUGUGACCACGCAAAGCUCACCUGGCAUAGUGGCAGAGAGGCUGAGCUGUUGCUGGUUCAUAUUCCUCUUUGCUCAUUGACAAAGGUGGGAUCUGCUUUGGGUGAGCUGGCAUGGCUCUUAGUCUGCAAUAUGGGCAGGAUACUUGUAAGGAUGACUGAGGGGGUGUCUGUAGAGGUCGAAGAAGAUUGUGGUAUGCUGCUUGAAUAAAAGGACUGGAGUUCCUGGCUAGGUUUGUGUGUAACAUGGUGCACAUUGCAAACACCUCCCAAAGACCAGGAGGCUUAAGUAAUCUGGUUCUUGGCAUUGACUCUGUGUGUAAUCUUCUACAGCCUGACUCUCUCUGCCCCACCCAUCUGCAGAGUGGAGGAUGGUGGUGGUUUUUUUACGUGCACCCAGGCUGAGCUGAAAAUACAUCAGCUGUAGAUGGAUCCAGAUGAAACAGUUGGCAGACAGGGAAGUUCUGGAUGACUGUCUCUUCCCUCUCCCUCUCUGAAAUAUGAGUAAAUGUUGGCAACCUGCUUGUACAUUCUGCUCCUUUUGGGGAGCCUUGUGGUUUGUAGUCCCCCUCCUCCCAAUUCUAGCAAUGCACAUUUUUGGAACACCUUUUUCUUACUGUACAUGGAGAAGCUGGUAGAGUGAAUCAGAGCAAGAAGCUCUGCGCUAUAGAUUUGCUUGGGUAGCGCUGCCUCCGUUCAGUAUUAUUUAGCUUCCCUCUAAUUAGCUGGCUUUAAAAGUCUGCCUCUUUCCAGAAUGCAUUUUUCACUUGUCCUACUUACUUCCUUAUAGGUCUUUCUCCCCUCCCCCUUGCUGGUUUCCCCCCCUUCUUCUUUUUUGCUGACACUGCAAACAAGCAUGAGGUUAGAUGCUCAACCGCACACAAACGAAUAUUGAUCUUUUCCCCCUUCUUUUUCCUUUUUCCUUUUUUGUCUGGAGGUUGGGAGGGUUUCUUCUGCCUUUGUCAGGGAAGGGACUGCCUUUGUGCCUGGGAAGGAGAAACAGCAUUAAGGAGGUUCUGGAAAUGUUCAGUUGGGUCUUCAGAGGGGAUGGCCCUAAUCUGCAGAAACAGCAACCCAAGCUCACUGGAAGCAGGCAAGGAUGGCCUAUCCCAGACAAAGGGACUCUGUGUGUGAGUGUGUGUGUGCGCCCGCCUGCCUAUCCCUUUGUUCUCUUGUACCAUACGCUGACACUGAAAGCUGCUUUCCUAUGGGCUGGGGGGUAGGGGGAGGAGACGGGGCAGGGUGUCUGGAUUGCAAGCAAAAUAAGAUGAAAGCCAGAAGAUCUCUGGCUCCAUUGUGACCCCAGUGGUGGUGGAAAAACCGCAGGGAUACUUUUGAAUCUUCCUUGUCUCUUCCCAAUCAGCUUAUUAAUGCACAUUGCUUAAAAGAAAUUCCCCUCUAUCUGGGGGACCUGAAGUUAAUCAGUAUUCUCCCAUGGAAGAAAGGUUUUAUCAUGGAAAGGCAGGCCUAUGUGAAGAGUCUUGUGUUGGUUAGCUAAAUCAUCAUUGGGCUUGUGUUCCCCCCUUAAAAAACAAAACAAAAACACUGUCCAGUUUGUUUGUUGCGUUAAUUUGAUAAUCACCCAGCUCCGGAAAUUUAGAUGACUGCUUUUGUUGUUGUUUACCAGCCUUAAGGUCAUGUUCUCCAACAAACAAUCCUAGCAGCCCAUAUGACAGCUACCGCAUGGCCUCUUAUGGUAGCUGGCCUUUUUGCAAGGAAAUAUUAAUUGAGAGACUGGUGCUUCUUCUGUACCCUCUGCUCUCUUACUACUACUUUCUUAAGACGCCCUGAAUUUUCCAUGUCUCCAGAAGAAAUUACUUUGAAGCUUGAGACGCCUUGGUGGAUAAGUGCAUAAGUUUGCAUUUGUGCCUUGAUUC